rnacentral:rRNA from 1 species
AGUCAACAUGCCCAGAGGACGUGGAUAACCUCGGGAAACUGAGGAUAAACCGCGAUAGGUCAUAAUUACUGGAAUGUGUUAUGGCCCAAAUCUAUAUGGCCUCUGGAUUGGACUGCGGCCGAUCAGGCUGUUGGUGAGGUAAUGGCCCACCAAACCUUUUACCGGUACGGGCUCUGAGAGGAGGAGCCCGGAGAUGGGCACUGAGACAAGGGCCCAGGCCCUAUGGGGCGCAGCAGGCGCGAAACCUCUGCAAUAGGCGAAAGCCUGACAGGGUUACUCUGAGUGAUUCCCGCUAAGGGAAUCUUUUGGCAUCUCUAAAAAUGGUGCAGAAUAAGGGGUGGGCAAGUCUGGUGUCAGCCGCCGCGGUAAUACCAGCACCCCGAGUGGUCGGGACGAUUAUUGGGCCUAAAGCAUCCGUAGCCGGUCUUGCAAGUCUUCCGUUAAAUCCAGCUGCUUAACAGAUGGGCUGCGGAGGAUACUACAAGGCUAGGAGGCGGGAGAGGCAAGCGGUACUCAGUGGGUAGGGGUAAAAUCCUCUGAUCCAUUGAAGACCACCAGUGGCGAAGGCGGCUUGCCAGAACGCGCUCGACGGUGAGGGAUGAAAGCUGGGGGAGCAAACCGGAUUAGAUACCCGGGUAGUCCCAGCUGUAAACGAUGCAGACUCGGUGAUGGGCCGGCUUUAUGCCGGCUCAGUGCCGCAGGGAAGCCGUUAAGUCUGCCGCCUGGGGAGUACGGUCGCAAGACUGAAAC